UAGAUAGAAAAAUUCACGAAAUAUUGGAAAAUCUUUAUUUGAAAUAUAAAGAUUUCCACAUUCAACGAGAUCCGAUCCGUUCUUCUUAUCCUCCCCAAUCAGUUUUUCCAUCCUUAAAACCUAAAAGUGACGUCAAAGGUACUAGAGUAGUUAGUCUAGUGCAGUUUGUGGAUCCCAAAUGUAGUAACGAAGAUUAGCAGCUUAAAUGCCAGGAAGAAGCUAGAAGGCAGGCAGGUAGCAGAAAGAAAGAAAAAAGUAAGAGAGAGAGAGAGAGAGAGAAAGGAUUCUCAGGCUGGAACAGAGACAGGACUAGUGUUCGCGCGCUAGGCUUCUCGCUCUAGCCUCUAUUAUACGAAUCACAGAGAGCGACUUAUCUCCGCCGCCAUCCUUCCGAGAAUUCGUCGACAGAGGUAAGUUCACAUUACAAAUCCGCCUCCACGAUCUCUAGCGAUCCGAAAUUUUUUCGAGUCGCUCCAAUUAUUAAUCGAGAUGAGGUAUUCUUCGAGAAAAUCUGAGAAUCCAAGUUUUCGAGAAUGAUCAAGAGAGUAAAGACUUUUUCAAGGCACCUCGUUGGCCAUAUUAGAAUUGAUGGCGUCUCUGACGUCACAAUCUAACAUGGCCGGUGAGGACUCGGGAGCCUUAACGGAAUAAAAAAAUCUAUUAACGGAAAUUAAAAAAUUAAAAAUCUUAAUGUUUCAAAUAAAACCUGAAAAGUAUCAGGCUGUUCUUCCCUGAUGAAGUGAACUGAAUUGUUCACGUUGGAAUCAAACAAAAAGUCUAUGCGAUUCAAAUUCGAAAAAACAAGUUAUAUUUCAAAAUGGAACCUGUUUAAAGAUUGAAUUUAAAUUGUUUGAGGAUUUUUUCGAAUCGGAUGUAGAAUCUUGGAAUCUGGUUUUUUUAAGGAUCUAAACAUUUUUUGCAUUUACAGCUACAAAAUAUUAAGUAUUUUGUGAAAAGUUUUUAACAGAGCAAAGAUCUUAAAUAUCCUAGAAAUUACGAUAAAUUUCUUAGGAUUUUAGGAUCUGCUGUAUUUAGGAUUAGUUGUAUUUUUACAUAUUUAAUAAACUUUUUUCUAGUCUACA